AACGAACGCUGGCGGCAGGCUUAACACAUGCAAGUCGAACGCACCUUUCGGGGUGAGUGGCAGACGGGUGAGUAACGCGUGGGAACGUGCCCUUCAGUUCGGAAUAACCCAGGGAAACUUGGGCUAAUACCGGAUACGUGCGAGAGCAGAAAGAUUUAUCGCUGAAGGAUCGGCCCGCGUCUGAUUAGCUAGUUGGUAGGGUAAUGGCCUACCAAGGCGACGAUCAGUAGCUGGUCUGAGAGGAUGAUCAGCCACAUUGGGACUGAGACACGGCCCAAACUCCUACGGGAGGCAGCAGUGGGGAAUAUUGGACAAUGGGCGCAAGCCUGAUCCAGCCAUGCCGCGUGAGUGAUGACGGCCUUAGGGUUGUAAAGCUCUUUCGUCCGGGACGAUAAUGACGGUACCGGAAGAAGAAGCGCCGGCUAACUACGUGCCAGCAGCCGCGGUAAUACGUAGGGCGCAAGCGUUGUCCGGAAUUAUUGGGCGUAAAGAGCUCGUAGGCGGUUUGUCGCGUCUGCUGUGAAAACCUGAGGCUCAACCUCGGGCCUGCAGUGGGUACGGGCAGACUAGAGUGCGGUAGGGGUGACUGGAAUUCCUGGUGUAGCGGUGGAAUGCGCAGAUAUCAGGAGGAACACCGAUGGCGAAGGCAGGUCACUGGGCCGCAACUGACGCUGAGGAGCGAAAGCAUGGGGAGCGAACAGGAUUAGAUACCCUGGUAGUCCAUGCCGUAAACGUUGGGCACUAGGUGUGGGGUCCAUUCC
rnacentral:rRNA from 1 species